AGGGAUCAUUACAAGUGACCCCGGUCUAACCACCGGGAUGUUCAUAACCCUUUGUUGUCCGACUCUGUUGCCUCCGGGGCGACCCUGCCUUCGGGCGGGGGCUCCGGGUGGACACUUCAAACUCUUGCGUAACUUUGCAGUCUGAGUAAACUUAAUUAAUAAAUUAAAACUUUUAACAACGGAUCUCUUGGUUCUGGCAUCGAUGAAGAACGCAGCGAAAUGCGAUAAGUAAUGUGAAUUGCAGAAUUCAGUGAAUCAUCGAAUCUUUGAACGCACAUUGCGCCCCCUGGUAUUCCGGGGGGCAUGCCUGUUCGAGCGUCAUUUCACCACUCAAGCCUCGCUUGGUAUUGGGCAACGCGGUCCGCCGCGUGCCUCAAAUCGACCGGCUGGGUCUUCUGUCCCCUAAGCGUUGUGGAAACUAUUCGCUAAAGGGUGUUCGGGAGGCUACGCCGUAAAACAACCCCAUUUCUAAGGUUGACCUCGGAUCAGGUAGGGAUACCCGCUGAACUUAAGCAUAUCAAUAAGCGGAGGAAAAGAAACCAACAGGGAUUGCUCUAGUAACGGCGAGUGAAGCAGCAAUAGCUCAAAUUUGAAAUCUGGCGUCUUCGACGUCCGAGUUGUAAUUUGUAGAGGAUGCUUCUGAGUAACCACCGACCUAAGUUCCUUGGAACAGGACGUCAUAGAGGGUGAGAAUCCCGUAUGCGGUCGGAAAGGUGCUCUAUACGUAGCUCCUUCGACGAGUCGAGUUGUUUGGGAAUGCAGCUCUAAAUGGGAGGUAAAUUUCUUCUAAAGCUAAAUAUUGGCCAGAGACCGAUAGCGCACAAGUAGAGUGAUCGAAAGAUGAAAAGCACUUUGGAAAGAGAGUUAAAAAGCACGUGAAAUUGUUAAAAGGGAAGGGAUUGCAACCAGACUUGCUCGCGGUGUUCCGCCGGUCUUCUGACCGGUCUACUCGCCGCGUUGCAGGCCAGCAUCGUCUGGUGCCGCUGGAUAAGACUUGAGGAAUGUAGCUCCCUCGGGAGUGUUAUAGCCUCUUGUGAUGCAGCGAGCGCCGGGCGAGGUCCGCGCUUCGGCUAGGAUGCUGGCGUAAUGGUCGUAAUCCGC
rnacentral:rRNA from 1 species